rnacentral:tRNA from 2 species
GGGGUUAUAGCUCAGUUGGUUAGAGCGCCACGUUGACAUCGUGGAGGUCAUUGGUUCGAGCCCAACUAACCCCACCA